UUAUAACAAUAGUUCAGCUAGCUUUGAUAUCCUAUAUACAGUCAUCUUCUCUCACCACUUAAAAAAAUUAUGAUGUUGUCUUAUAAUAUUUAUGAGGUAUUGAAAAAUUCUGUUUUUAGUCUAAUUCUUUUGUAUUUAAUCUGUCUUUUCUUGCUGGUGACUUAAAAAAGAAUUCUCUUUACUUUUUUUAUUUUGGUAAUUUUACUAUGGUGUAUCCAGGUAUGUUUUUAUUUAUCCUACCCAGUGCUUGUAGCACAUUUUCAAAUGGGGAUUCUUUUCUUUUUAUGUUUUUUGUUACAAUUUAUUCUUUUUUUAAUUUUUAAUUUUUGUGGGAACAUAGUACAUGUAUAUAUUUUGAUACAGGCAUGCAAUUCAUAAUUACAUCAUGGAAAU
rnacentral:lncRNA from 1 species